rnacentral:rRNA from 1 species
AUUGAACGCUGGCGGCAGGCCUAACACAUGCAAGUCGAACGGUAGCAGGAAGCAGCUUGCUGCUUUGCUGACGAGUGGCGGACGGGUGAGUAAUGUCUGGGAAACUGCCUGAUGGAGGGGGAUAACUACUGGAAACGGUAGCUAAUACCGCAUAACGUCGCAAGACCAAAGAGGGGGACCUUCGGGCCUCUUGCCAUCGGAUGUGCCCAGGUGGGAUUAGCUUGUUGGUGGGGUAACGGCUCACCAAGGCGACGAUCCCUAGCUGGUCUGAGAGGAUGACCAGCCACACUGGAACUGAGACACGGUCCAGACUCCUACGGGAGGCAGCAGUGGGGAAUAUUGCACAAUGGGCGCAAGCCUGAUGCAGCCAUGCCGCGUGUAUGAAGAAGGCCUUCGGGUUGUAAAGUACUUUCAGCGGGGAGGAAGGGAGUAAAGUUAAUACCUUUACUCAUUGACGUUACCCGCAGAAGAAGCACCGGCUAACUCCGUG